CUGAUUUCAAGUUUUAUUUGAUGUUUAUAGUGACAAUUUUAAGAUGUUAACUAUAUGAUGGCAAUGGGGAGUUAUCUCCAGCUUUCUCUAAGUUUAUUUUGUGUUCUGUUUAUUUGUAGCACUUAUUUGAGCAUGGGCCACUUUUAGAUGGGUUGCAGUGACAACAUUCAUGGGAUCUUGCCUGUGCUUGUGGAGGAAGAUGCCGGAAACAUCCUCUUAUUUAAGGUCAGCUUUUCUAUGGAGGUGGAGGAGUGAGGAAUUAAUGAAGAACUGAAGUUGAACCUGGGAAUAUGAGUGAUGGAGGAGACAUUUUCCUUCAGACUCCUGAGCUGUUUCAUCUUAUUUUCUCCCCAUCCUGUUGAGGACAGGCAGUGAGGGAGAGCAGCUGGCUGCUAGCCAAGAUCAACCCCUCCACCAGUAAAUAUAUACCUUUGGAGUAGUUCCUGGUAAUACUAGUUUGAUCUGUGAUGAACUCAGAAGACACCACUGCAGGACCAUUCAGGGAAGCUGCAGUUCAGUCUGCCUGUUUGUAAGCUGCUUUUCUCUGGCUUCUAAAUAUUGCUAAUUCAAUUUAGAGAGGGAACAGCUUCCAAGUAGCUUUAAGGUGAAAGUUAAUGAUCAGAUAUCUUCAUGCAAUGUUUGAAUUGCUUGCCCAUCAAGGCACAGAGAUUUGUUUUGUGGGACCCUUUUUAUGUUUUGUACUAUGCUGUCUUGCAGCACCAAGAAAGGGAAAUUUACUACUGCUAUCUGAGGGCAGGUCCUGGCAUUUUUUUCUCCAGUACUGCAGAGUAAUUAUUCUUAAAUACUCCAGUAUCCCCUUUAAGGCAUUGGAGGAUAACUCGGCUGUGAAAAUGCAGUUAUUCUCCAGCAGAUUGUAAAGAAUUAGUCUGCUCUUCUAUGCUUCUAUAUCCUCCUUAAUUAAUUGGUGUUUGAUAAUACUGCUUUCUCCUUUUCUGUCUUUCCUUUCUCUGUUUCCUUUUGUUUGACUAUUGUUUCUUUUACAAGUUUCUCUUGACUCUUUACAUGCACAUAAAGUACUUUUCUCCUGAAUAUAAUCUUUUUUCCUUAUUUAUAUGAAUAACCAUUAAUUAUUUAUUAUUUCCCCUGAACCAUUAAAUAAGUCCUAAUUACUCUAUAUACAGGUAAAAUAAAAAUAUGAUAUGCAAUUCAUUGUUUAUAUUGCAAGAUGAUGUGGUAUUGUAUAAUUAUUCUUUGCGGAUACUACUUGGGAAGGAAUACUGCAUUCUUUGAUUUAUAUUCUUGAAUUUAAUAACAUAAGUACAUAUAAUGCUCCAGAGUAUUCUUGAAUUAUGUGGAGGAGAAAAAGGGUUAUGCCUAAUACCAGAAAUCCGAGCUCAGCUUUUACUUUUUGUUAUUCCCACAAAAUUCUGUGGCAAUCAAGCCUAUCAAAAGCAUUGAUGCAGAUAGAAUUUAAUUCACUUACAGGGAUUCUUAGUGAAUAUUCGUGUGUGUGUGUGUGUGUUUGAAUACAUUCAUUUCUUUGAGGACAAACUGGAAAAUUUGGUCUCCAAAUGAUUAGAGCACAGUGUGCAAAACCUGGGUGGCUAUCUUUGAGUAAGCUUCAGCAGCUGUACCUUCUGUCUUAGAUGAACUAGGUCAGCAUGGUGAUUUUUAUGAUUUGCUAGAGAGUAAAGUUUAUUCCAUUAAAAUUUGUUUUUCCAGGCUUAUGCAAGCAGUGCUUUCUGUCAAAAUAUAGUCUGUGUUUCAUGGUUUACAUGGAUGAGAUGUGAUUUAAUAAGUAAAUGAACUUAGAUGACACAGAAAGUUUCUAUCUCGUAUUUGUGUGGAAAAUAGUUUGGUAAUAUUUCCACAUUUGCUGUUAUGUCUUGAACAUAUGAUGGGUAAUACAGGAGAAGUUUUUACUGUCAUCCUGUAUCUUCCUGUAAGCUUGUAGCACUUCAGUAGACAUUGGUAUUCUCUAAGAAAAUGGAAGUUCAGAAUUAGUAAGGGAAUUUCUACAAAUGACAUCUUUUGGGUCGCAAAUAAUCUCAGAUCUUUAUUUCCACAUACAUACCAUGGCUCAGAGGAACCUACUUGAUUUCACAGACUGAAAAUGUGGCCUCCGCUGAAGCACUUUUCAUUAAAUUAAAUCCAUGUUUCCCUAAUUUCUUUUCAAAUUUGUACUGCAAGCCUGAAUCCAGUUUUCAGAGAUCAGAAUGCCAGUGGUAUUCUCUUAACAGUCAGUGCUAAUAUACUGACAUAUUACAUGAUGAUGAAAAUAGUUUAAAAAUGAAAAGAAGAAAUCUGUAAUGCAUCAGCAGUUUUGUCUGGAAACAUUAAUCUUUGCUUUCUGAACUCUACCAGAUUUCCUGUGUCUUUAUUUUAAUUGCAUGCACUGAUUGUGUGCUUACGUUCUUUUUCUAAGAGCACUGAAGUGCUUUCCCGCUUAUAGUGUGCAAAUUCUUAGUGAAACACAGGUUCUCUGAGAUGCAUUUCCAUCAGUUUUUCAGAGUGAAGCACAGUGGAGUUCUCUUUGUCAAUACUCAGUGGAAAAAAAACAAAAAACAACCACUUGAAUAAAUGUUGUACUUACUGGUACUUUUUCAUAUCUUAAAACUUGUGGAGCAUUGCAAUGGUUGGGAACCAACUUUGAGACUGUGAUGAUGUGAGACAACUUCGUAGCACAUUUAUUGCUGCAUAGCUCAGUGGUGAUGAAAUUCCUCUAGAGAAAUAUAAAAUAUAAAAUGCCAAAAUAUUUUCUCAUGUCUUUCCUUUAAAUUAAAUUUCAUGCUGUUUUCACUUUUCUGAAUUGAUUCUUGGGGUGUAAUGCCAAGUGCUGAUCAUAAGAUAAAAUUGUAUCAAUUUCUUCUUCAUUUUCUUUGUCCUAAAUUAUUAAGAGAUCUUACUUUCAACUAUCUGGGGUCCUUCCUUCAGACAAAAAAUCACGGACAAGAAAACAAAACUUCCCAACCUUUUCAGUCUGACCUCAAUAAUGAAAAAGCUCACAUUUGACUGACACAAAUUCUGAGAAAACUUUUUGGAUAGGUUAUAAAGUUAUUUCUUGUAAUCACCUGAGUCCAUUCUGCUGUUGACUGUAUAUGAAACACGGAUGUACCUUACCAGAUGUUCUUUCCUUGUCCCUUGUUAUGGGUUAUUAGCCACGAUGACUUGCUAUUUCGCAUUUUAAUGUAUAUUUUAAGUAGCUCUCAGUAGGAAUUUAAUUUAGAAUAGAACAGAGUAGUUCAGUUGAAAGGAAUCUGCAAAGAUAAUUGAGUCCAACUGCCUGACCUCUUCAGGGCUAACCAGAAGUUAAAGCAUGUUAAUGAGGGCAUUAUCCAAAUGCCUCUUGAACACUGCAAACACAGGCCAUCAACCACCUCUCUAGGGCACCCCAUGCCCAUCUGACCUCUGCAUCCCCUCCUCAGGGCUGUGCAGAGAGCAGUGAGGUCACCUCUCAGCUUCCUCUUCUCCAGAUGGAGCAACCUGAGUGUCCUCAGCCUUCAGGACACACCUUCCAGCCUUAGUACAAGCUUUGCUGCACUCCUCUUGUCAAAUUCAAGGAUCUUGACACCUUUUUUUAUAUUAUGGAGCCCAGGAAUGAACACUCUAUUCAAAGGCCAGUCUGCACCAACACUAAAUACAGUGGGAGAAUUGCCUCUUUUGACUGACUACUAAGCAGUUUUUAAUGCACCUUAAAAGGCAGUUUGCCAUCUUGUCUGCCAGGGCACACUGGUGGAGAUUAUUGAGCCUGCUGUCACCCCAGGUCCUUUUUUGCUAAGCUGUUCCACAGCCAUUCAUUUCCUAGUCCAUGCCUGUGAACAGCACUUUCCAACCUUAGGUGAAACAAUUAUAUUUACCCUUGCUUGACGCUAUUGAUGAUUGCUUCAGUGCACCAUCUACCUAAAUUCCUCUACAAGGCCUCUCUACCCUUGAGCAGCUGCCGAUGUUGAGGAAUUGAGGAUUGUUGAGGAACUUGCUAAGGUUGCAUUGAACUCCUGCAUCCAGGUAAAGCAUACAGGUUUUCUUUCAGCCAAGCUAUAAAACAAAACAGUGUCUUUGAAAUAUUCAGUUAUAGAAAAAAAAUAAUUAAAAAACAGGAAAAAAAAAAAGUGGAAAUAACUUUGCCCUUUACUUGCAGCAUCUACAAAGCAGAGUAUGUUCGUAAAUCACAGAAAAGCUGUGAAUUGCAAACACAGCUGUUUCAGAAAUACUUAGUAGCCUGAGGGAAAAGAUGGCAGAAUUACCCAACUGCCCUCACAGAGUAAAUAGCAUGCAAUUUCAAAUAUUUCCAGUUAUUAAGCAAAAGAAAAAAAGAUAAAAAUGUGGUGUGUCCUGGGCUUCUAAAGUUGGUUGAAUGUCUGUGUAGAAGUAGACAUGGAUCAUUUGCAGCCUGGGGGUCUUUGCCCUGGUAUCCUGGAGCUGCAUUGCUCCAGUUUCCCACUGAGUGUUUCAGUGCUCAAGCCUACAGAAGGAGCGCAAUGUUUUGCGUGCUGCGAAUCCCUGCUCACAGAGCACUAAUCUCAGCAUUUAGAUAAUCCCAGACUCUGCCCCAGCAAAGAGUGACAGAUUAAAGGCAAUUAGUGCUGUCAAAUCAAGUUAUGAUUUAUUUGUUAAAUGCAAGAUUUCUUCUCAAGGUCAGUGCUACUGAGCAUAUUAUGGAUGUUCAGUUUUCAUUCAUGCAAUCAUUUUUAAGUGUUAAUUACAGGCAUUAAUUAAACAAUAAUAAGUGUGCUUUUAAAGGAGUGAUAGCUUUUAUUGUUUGUUCUGCCUCUUUUUUUCCCCAUGAAGUGAUGGGGAUGCAAUGAGUUCAUUUGUUUUCUGCAUUGUCAUGUUUUGUUAUGGGGCUUUUUUGGAAAGAUAAAGUGGUGACAGUGUUGUAUAAGAGUUCCAGAAAGACGAUGAUGUCACCUCAGUUCUUUAUAUAAAGGGCUUUAGUAGAAUUAGAAUAUUAGUUGAGUAAUCUCACAAACAAUUUAGAGACCAUUUACAAAAGUAAUUUCAAGAGGUAUCUAUUAAUGUUUACAAGAAACACUAAUAACUAACUAAUAAAAUGAUUACAUGUAAGUAGAAGAAUUAUAGGUUAGUUGCCAUCUAGUCAUCUCUUUUGUCUAUACUGUCACAACUCUUCUGAUUUUGUUCUCUUUGUAGCUGGUAUCAGUGGCACUCAGUUUUGUCUUUGUAUGCAUAAUGUCUUUGAUAGCAGUCAAAUUCCUAUAUGUGUUUUGCUUUGCCCAUUUAGAGAACAAGCAUAGAACUUAACACAGUUAUAAAUCAGAAAUUUACAAGCUUGUUACUGUAAAUUCAGAAUUGGGUAGCGUUACAUAGGAGCACAAUGAGAAGCUUAUAGGCAAACUUAAAUAGAAAGUGUCCUAAUAAGGAAGUGUUAAGCCUGUGUGAAAAAGUGAUAGGAAGACAAAAAUGAAAACUAUGGGGAAAAAAUAACUGACAUCAGUACUUUUAUGACAAACAUACAAAUUAGAAAUAAGCUGGGAUUGCCUGUCUUGCAGCCAGACCUCCAUCUAGAAUAGAACCUUCUUCAGAAACACGUUAUUUUUUUCCACAGUCAUUCCUUCAGCCUGAGCACCAGCUGGAUAAAGAUAAGGCAAUUACAUGUUCUCUGGUCCAUGUCUGGAAUAUAAAAAUAGCUGUACAAACGAGUCAGCUCAGAAGUACUUCUGGCAAUGGCCAGGAGUAUAUUCCUGAUGAACAGAUUCCCUUCAGUCACCCUGUUUCUUGAAGCCCAUGGCUGUUCAGUCCUAUCACAAAGUCAGUAAAUGGGUUUCAUGGACUUUUCUUUCAUGUAGUUGUAUAAUUGUCAUUUGAACCCAUAGCGUUUUGUGGCACAGUGAAAUUGUUAUACUUUGUUCCACCGUAGAAUUCUGCAAACAUUUGGGUUUUUUAAGAGUGAUGGGGUUACAGUUUACUUCCUUGAAGCUUCACCAUAAAAGAUCUCAUGAUGCCUGUCGUGAUGUUGUAUGUCUUACUGCCAGCAUUUUUAGUUUUCAAAUGCUUCAUUAUAUUUUUCCCUAUAUUUCAUUUUAUCAUGCAUCAAAAACUCAAGAUUAACUAGAUGCUUUCUCAGAGAUGCAGGGUAAUAGCAAUAAAAAGUAUUAGAAAUCUUGAAUCUUUCCAGUCCAUCAUGAAGGUCUGAGUGCAUGGUGUACUCUGGCAGAGUGCUGAGAGGUUAUAGUUGACCUGUUUUGUUUUGUUUUUCUCCAGCUGUGUUCACGGAUAGCAUAUAGAACAUAUUUGAUACAAAUGCUACUCCAGCAAUAGCUUUCAGUGUGCAGCUGUUGAUGCUGAGGUUUUUCAAAUGAGACUUUUGAAAUUAAAUUCUGAUUUUCAACCUGAUGUGUGUAAGCCCAGCUUCUACUUUCCAGGCUGAGUACUUCUUUUAAGGCAUCCAAUUCAUUUUUUUCCAUCCUUUCUUAUAAGGUUAUACAUUCUCAAAGUCCUGUUGAUAUCUUUGCUCUGUGUUUCCUUUCUUCUUCUGACUGCUUUUCUCUGUUACAUUUACCUAUACGUCUGCAGGGACCUACCUCAGAAUUCUGCAUCAUUCUGCUUCAAACUUUGCUUGUUGGUUCUUAUACAUAUGAAGAAGUACAAUAACCUGAAUGCAUGAGAAUAGAAUGAGUCUGAGAAAAUUGUGCUUUAACUAGAGAGGUCUGUUUUCCUCAGAGUAGAAACAAGGAUAGUAUUAAAUUGCUAAAGAAAACAUUGCCAAUGUAACCCUUCUAUUCUGUAUAUAAAUAAUCACUAUAAAUCACCAGUAAAGCUAUUCCAACAUGAACAUGGCCUAAAAGAACUCCUUUGAAAGCAUCUUCUAAUGAUUGCAUCCAGUUCUUAUUCCAUGCUUACUUUUUAUUCUAGACUAUUGCACUGCUGCUUCUAGUCUUCAGGCCAUUUUGUUUUAUUCCUUUUUUAAAGAUAUAUCUUUUGCUGAUAAGCACAUCUUGUUUGUUCAUAUGCUUAUUUUGUUAAAUGUUAAAUAUUUAAUUAUUUUUCUUUUUCCUCAAAUGCCUUAUUUGGCAGAGCUUAGUGAUUAUUCUGAAGAGCUGCUUAAAAUGUGAAUUUCCUGUCAUUUUAACUUCCGUUCUGAAAGAACAAACACAAAAGAUUUAGGAGGUUCUUCCAUGCCAUGUGAAACAAAUACACAUGUUUUGAAGGAAUGAGUUGAUUCAAUACUUGCAUUUAUGCUGUCAGUUUUUAGAAGUGUGUUUGAAAAUAAAAAUG